UUCUUAAUGCUCUGCAGGCGGAAACGUCCGUGAAUAGGACCAUGACUGAAAACCUAAUGAAAAACAAUCAGGAUAUGAUGACUUCCUUCAUGACUGAGAUGAGGGCUGAUAGAGAUCAUCGUAGGAGGGACGAUUCUCCUCCACAUACGACUACGGUGACACCUACACCAACGCCUUCUAUUACUCCUCUGCAGGGGGAGAGUGGGGCCAGUCACGACACUGGUGAGGCUAGCCACCACACUACGGAUCCUACAUAUGUUCUGCAACCUUCUGUUGAUCCUCCUUCUAUUGCUCAGUCCUUUGGUGCUGCUGAGCAAGUUGUUGAUGAUGCUAUUGUUGGAGCGAAGGCUCAUAUAGUUUAGGAAACACAAACCACCCGUAUUUAUGGGGUCAAAGGACCCGAAGGAGGAUACUAACUGGCUUAUGGGGAUGGAUAAGAUUUUCCAGGUGAUGAGGUGCCAGGAUCUUCAGAAGUUAUUGUAUUAUGUGUACAUGCUGGAGGGAGAUGCACACGAAUGCUAGUGUAAUGCAUCUCGCCCUUUUACUAUUCAAGGGGUGGAGAUGACCUGGGCCAUGUUUGAGGGCCUAUUUCAUGAAGAAUAUUUUCCCAGUGAUGUCCGGGAGGCUAAACAAGGAGAAUUCGAUAAGCUGGUGCAGGGUUCAUUGUCUGUGGAUGCAUAUUUGGCCAAGUUCAAUGAAUUAGUCAAGUUUGCAAAUUAUUGGGGGGGGGGGGUACUCUACCUACUCCAGAAUUUCUUUCUGCGAAGUUCCAAAGAGGAUUGAAUGAAAAGAUUGCUAAGAGGAUGUCGAAUACAGCAAUGAGGAAUUUUGCUGAUCUUGUGACCCAAUGUAAGAGGGUCGAAACUGUUUAUGGGAGAUAUCCUAAGUCUAAUGUGGCUAAAGAGCAAGAAAUUAAGAGGACAACUGGUCCUUCUAGAAAUAGUAAUAGAGGUGGAUACCAUCAUAAUAACAACAAGGGAAGGGGGUUGCAAGUAAGGCAGCCUCCUGGUCAAUUCAAGAGGAGUGCAGCCCCAGGUGGUGGAGCUGUUGAUAGAUACUAUACCCCACAGUGUGGGAAGUGCAAGAAAUACCACAAAGGUAUAUGUGGUGCUGGCCCGGGGGCUUGUUUUAAAUGUGGUCAGACAUGCCAUUUUACUAGGAGUUGUCCAUCUUUUGCGGGACAGGCUGCGAAUCUGCAGGCCUCACAGGCUCACCUGAAGGUACCCCAGAAGAGGCACCAAUGCUAAUACCGUGACUAAAAUUGGCACGAGUUUGAGGCUCUACUGAAUCUGCAGGCCUUACCGACUACUACUGCUACUGCUGCUGCUGCUGCCAUUCCUAUGGUUAGAAGGGUGUAUACUACAAAUGCGCAACAUACUGAAAAGGCCCCGAACUUGGUAAAAGGUUUUCGUACGUCGACCUGAAUCCCGAAUCUUGAAUCAGUGAAUUGCCCUUGGUCCGGGACCAAGUGGAUUGAGGCAUUCCGCUGUGUACCGAGUUGAGGGAUAAGCUGCUGCGGAGCUUGUGGAAACACGAAUUAAGGUAACCUCUUGGUACUGGGGCUUGUUCCCAUUUUCUGUUCCACCUUGCCAGUUGAUGGCAACAGUAGGAAGUGUGUAUGAAUAGUAUAGAACACAUGAGCAUGCAUGCAUUAUUGCUAUGGGUACUGCGGUACCGAGUCUCUGGCCAGUAGACAGUUUUAUUAGCCUUCGGGCAUUUUCGGACUUCCGCUGGAUAGGUCUCCAGGAGGGAGUUCCAGUUGACCGCGUGUCAUGGUGUGUGAUCCGGGUAGGAGCACACUAGGAAUGUCUUUGGCGUUUUGGUUGGUUUGGGCAUCAUGGUUGUGGUUUCUGUGAACACACCUUGGAUGAUACCCAUAGGCUUAUAUAUGCCGAGGGCGUACGUGGAAUUGGGGUUACCAUCCCGUAUCGUCGUAUUUUGUUUUCUUUAUAUUCCCCAUUCUCUAAAUCCCUUGCUAUAUCCCGUUUUCAAAGUGGUUGUUGUAUUCUAUUGAUAUGCAUCGAAGUGAACCAUUGGGUGGAGUUUUCUCCAGAACCUCUUGGUUACUGAGAUAUAUUCGUAUAUCUCACCCCGUCUCGGGGCAUUUAUUUCAGGAGGUAGCAAUGGAGCAGGAGCCUCGGGCAAGAGGCUCGCAGAGUGAGCGAUGGAGCGUUUCUUAUUUUGCAUUUUGUUGGCUGUGUGGCCUAGGCUAGACUUAGGGCAUGAACAUGUCAUUUGUAUUUAUUAGUAGCUUCAUUAGCAUCUUGUUCAUGCCAUUUUGCCUAAGUCUAGUAGUGAUGUAUUUGGUUAUGUUGUCUUUUAAAUUAAGUUGAAAUUUUAGAAGAAUGUAAUUUGAAGUUUUAGUUUCAAGUUGUAAUUUGUAAAGCCAUAUUGUAAUAGUAUUGAUGCAUGU